rnacentral:rRNA from 1 species
UACGGGGGGAGCAAGCGUUGUUCGGAUUUACUGGGCGUAAAGGGCGCGUAGGCGGUAGCACAAGUCCGUUGUGAAAUCUCCGGGCUUAACUCGGAAAGGUCAACUGAUACUGUGCGACUAGAGUGCAGAAGGGGCAACUGGAAUUCUCGGUGUAGCGGUGAAAUGCGUAGAUAUCGAGAGGAACACCGGUGGCGAAGGCGGCGUUCUGGACUGCAACUGACACUGAGGAACGAAAGCCAGGGGAGCAAACGGG